UACGUAGGGUCCGAGCGUUGUCCGGAGUUACUGGGCGUAAAGCGCGCGCAGGCGGCGGUGCUGGCCCGGCGUGAAAGCCCCCGGCUCAACCGGGGGAGGGUCGUCGGGGACCGCACCGCUUGAGGGCGGUAGGGGCUGGUGGAAUGCCUGGUGUAGUGGUGAAAUGCGUAGAGAUCAGGCGGAACACCCGUGGCGAAGGCGGCCAGCUGGGCCGUCCCUGACGCUGAUGCGCGAAAGCCAGGGGAGCGAACGGGG
rnacentral:rRNA from 1 species